rnacentral:lncRNA from 1 species
CACAAGGCCAAGGGCUCUACCACUAUUCGAUUUCCACUUCAGCUGCUGGGCACCUGUGCGAUCGGGGAGGAGCCAAACACCAAGCAGCAGCAUAUCAAAGGGACCAUUACCUCCAUCCGUGGAGCUUUAAUCUUCAAAUUCAUCUUCUCCUAUGGAGCUAGCGCCUGCCUGAGCCUGAUCCAAGACCUGCGCUCAUCAGACACACUGCGAGAGGCUGUGAACCUGCAGCAAUAUCCGACUGCCUCCAUCUUCAGCUAUGCCCACCCGUCUGCACCCCGUGCUCAGCGUAUGCUCCCAAUCCUUGGUGCUUUUCUGAGGUGAAAGCCAGAUGCCCAAAAUGUUGAUGCUCAACUCUUUUGGAAGAGGUUGGCAAAGGAGAUGAGCAAAG